UAGGGAAUCUUCCGCAAUGGACGAAAGUCUGACGGAGCGACGCCGCGUGAGCGAAGAAGGUCUUCGGAUCGUAAAGCUCUGUUGUUAGGGAAGAAGAAGUGCCGUUCGAACAGGGCGGCGCGGUGACGGUACCUAACGAGAAAGCCCCGGCUAACUACGUGCCAGCAGCCGCGGUAAUACGUAGGGGGCGAGCGUUGUCCGGAAUUACUGGGCGUAAAGAGCACGUAGGCGGCUAUAAAAGUCAGAUGUGAAAAACCUGGGCUCAACCGAGGGUAUGCAUCUGAAACUAAAUAGCUUGAGUCAAGGAGAGGAGAGCGGAAUUCCUGGUGUAGCGGUGAAAUGCGUAGAGAUCAGGAAGAAUACCAGUGGCGAAAGCGGCUCUCUGGACUUGAACUGACGCUGAGGUGCGAAAGCGUGGGGAGCAAACAGG
rnacentral:rRNA from 1 species